UUAAUUUCUCCAGGUGCCAAAAGGAUUUCAAGAACGGGAUACAAGUUAUGAAAAAGUGUUUUUUAACGCUAACGAUUUCAUGAACGGACCUCAAGUUAUGGAAAGUGUUUUUUCAAAGUUCUGCGGCCCCUCAUCCUCAGCGCUCCGUUGAAAUCGUAUCCACUCCAGCAACUCGUCGUGCGUUGGCAAGUUUUUCUUGACAAUGUGUGCUUUUCCUUGAAUGUUAUUUUUGACAACAGUGCCUGUCAUGUACCGAUUCAGUGUUGUAUCUUGCUCUUAAUGUUGUUAAACUGUUCCCUGUUGACUGCUGCUACUGUAUGUGCUGUGCAUUGUGAAAUAAAAACCGUUCAUUUGCA